UAGUCCACGCUGUAAACGAUGGAUACUAGGUGUUCGGAGUGUUAACCCUCUGAGUACCGGAGCAAACGCAUUAAGUAUCCCGCCUGGGGAGUACGGUCGCAAGGCUAAAACUCAAAGGAAUUGACGGGGCCCGCACAAGCGGUGGAGUAUGUGGUUCAAUUCGAAGCAACGCGAAGAACCUUACCUGGGCUUAACAUCCCACGACAACCCCAGAGAUGGGGCCUCUUCUUCGGAAGCGUGGUGAUAGGUGCUGCAUGGCUGUCGUCAGCUCGUGUCGUAAGAUGUUGGGUUAAGUCCCGCAACGAGCGCAACCCCUGUCCCUAGUUGCCAGCAUUGAGUUGGGGACUCUAGGGAGACUGCCGGUGUUAAACCGGAGGAAGGCGGGGACGAGGGUCAAGUCCUCAUGGCCCUUAUGCCCAGGGGCUACACACGUACUACAAUGGGCAGAGACAAUCCGAUGCAAGACCGCGAGGUGGGAGCUAAUCGGGAAAAACACUGUCUUAGUCCGGGAUUGGGAGUCUGCAACUCGAC
rnacentral:rRNA from 1 species